rnacentral:lncRNA from 1 species
ACGAUAGAGGAAUUGAAUCAUACGUUAACUAGACCUAGAGAUUCAUUUCAGUUUUAUUGGGUUGCCACUACAUACUGCUAGAUGUCACUGGUGGAUUGUGAGAGCUCACUAGGAUCAUUUUGAAUCGACAAUCCUUGCUAGGUUAGAAGUAAAAUUGUUCUGACCCAUUGAAAAGAGUUUCAACGAUACAAUGAUAGAGAUCAUUGUAUAUCUCACUACCAGAU